AUGCAAACUGCAUACUGCUUUGAACAUCGACAUCUUGAACGCAUAUUGCGGCCAUGGGUUAGCCUGUGGCCACGCCUGUCCGAGGGUCGGCUU
rnacentral:rRNA from 1 species